UUAUUUCAUUUUCACAACAUUAAUUAGUUGCAUUAGGUAGAAUUAAACAUUUGUCGUAUGUACUUUAUUAUUGUUAUUUAACUAAAUCCAUACUUUACCGAGCUUAAGUUAAGAAUAAGUGCUUUUAAAAAAAGUUAUUAUACUAAUAAAUUAUUCAUAAUUGUUUCCUACGACAAAUGAUCUUAAAGUUAUAUCUAAAAAAAAAAACAUUUUCCAAAUUCAUCUUCUUAUAUCGAUGAUUGAUUAUUAAACUUGGCUGCAAGUUUAACUACUAUUCAACAUAUAUACCAUCUCUUA
rnacentral:lncRNA from 1 species